UGAGGAAUAUUGGGCAAUGGGCGAAAGCCUGACCCAGCCAUGCCGCGUGCAGGAAGACGGCCCUAUGGGUUGUAAACUGCUUUUAAAUGGGAAGAAUAAGGGGUACGAGUACCCUGAUGACGGUACCAUAAGAAUAAGCAUCGGCUAACUCCGUGCCAGCAGCCGCGGUAAUACGGAGGAUGCGAGCGUUAUCCGGAUUUAUUGGGUUUAAAGGGUCUGUAGGCGGUAUAGUAAGUCAGUGGUGAAAUUCUUCAGCUUAACUGGAGGCGUGCCACAGAAACUGCUAUGCUAGAGAUAUUGUGGAGUAAGGAGAAUGUGACAAGUAGCGGUGAAAUGCAUAGAUAUGUCACAGAACACCGAUAGCGAAGGCACCUUACUAACAAUAGACUGACGCUAAGAGACGAAAGCGUGGGGAGCAAACA
rnacentral:rRNA from 1 species